rfam:Schizophyllum commune H4-8 unplaced genomic scaffold SCHCOscaffold_16, whole genome shotgun sequence.
CCUUCCUUAGCUCAGUUGGAAGAGCGUCAGACUGUAAUGGAUACCUUCACAUCUGAAUGUCGCCUGUUCGAACCAGGCAGGGAGGA